UACGUAGGGGGCAAGCGUUGUCCGGAAUUAUUGGGCGUAAAGAGCGCGUAGGCGGUCCGGUAAGUCGGCUGUGAAAGUCAAGGGCUCAACCUUUGAAAGCCGGUGGAUACUGUGAGGCUAGAGUACGGAAGAGGCGAGUGGAAUUCCUGGUGUAGCGGUGGAAUGCGCAGAUAUCAGGAGGAACACCAAUAGCGAAGGCAGCUCGCUGGGACGUUACUGACACUGAGGCGCGAAAGCGUGGGGAGCGAACAGG
rnacentral:rRNA from 1 species